rnacentral:rRNA from 1 species
CCCUUAGACGUUCUGGGCCGCACGCGCGCUACACUGACCAGUGCAACAAGCAUCCGUCCUUGGCCGACAGGCCCGGGCAAUCUUUGAACGCUGGUCGUGAUGGGGAUAGACUUUUGCAAUUUUUGGUCUUCAACGAGGAAUUCCUAGUAAACGCAAGUCAUCAACUUGCAUUGAUUACGUCCCUGCCCUUUGUACACACCGCCCGUCGCACCUACCGAUUGAAUGGUCCGGUGAAGCCUCGGGAUUGUGGCUGGUUUCCUUUAUUGGAGGUCGGUCGCGAGAACUUGUCUAAACCUUAUCAUUUAGAGGAAGGUGAAGUCGUAACA